AAGGUAGCGUAAUCAUUUGUUCUUUAAAUAAGGACCAGUAUGAACGGCUAAACGAGAAUCCAUCUGUCUCUUGCAGAAGGCCAGUGAAAUUGAUCUCCCUGUGCAAAAGCAGGGAUAUUAACAUUAGACGAGAAGACCCUGUGAAACUUUAAACUACUAAAUUACAACAAGUUGUAAAACACACACUAAACUAGCCCAACUACUAUUAAUAUGUUGAUUUAGCGUUUUCGGUUGGGGCGACCCCAAAAUAAAAAAAACUUUCCAGGAAAAUUGUAGCAUGAUUACUACUGACUAAGGCCCACACCACAAAGUGCUUAAAUGUAAUCAGAUCCGGCACACGCCGAUUUAUGAACCAAGCUACUCCAGGGAUAACAGCGCAAUCCCCCUCAAGAGCCCUUAUCGACAGGGGGGUUK
rnacentral:rRNA from 1 species